UUUGUUUCUCUGAAUUUCAGGGCGGUUGGGAUCAGUCCCUGGGUUUUAAUUUCUGUUUGCUAAUGCAAAUGAAUUCUAUACACUCAGGGUAGAAAAUUGAGCGUACCAAGAGAGCAUCUCAAACCUCCUGGGUGGAGGUUGUUUGCAUUCAGGUUUCAUGUAAACAGGUGCCUGAAGCUGCCUGUAGAGAGAGCCCUCUCUAAGCUGCAGACUGGGGAAGGACCAGACUGGUCCUGUAAAUUGAAGGCAGAGAAAGAACACCUGACCAUCACCCUACUUGGGAGAGACCAGAGGCCAGUUCUGGAAGUCUACACAUGUGAGAGUUCUGAAGGCAAAUGGCAGCAGAGCCCGAGACUGAAUUUCUAAUAACUUCUCAGGUGAUGGCAAGGUUGCAGAUCCCUGAGGACUUAAGGGAGCACUCUGAGACAAAGACAGAAACUGAAGGACUCUAGAAGGGAAAGGCUUGACUGAACUGUUGCAGCUGCCCGCGUCAGUGGCUGCGGUAGCAAAUGGAGACCAUCACAGAAGACCACACAUGCACACAGUGCAGAGAUCAGUGGUUGGUGGAGAGCCCAGCCACAAGGGAUACAGCUUUCCUGGGUCUUGCAUUUGUGUCUCAGAAGAUGACUACAGAAAGACUGUCAGAGCCAGACCACCAGGAAACUCACAGUGACAUAGUCGCUUCUAGAAAUGGCUGCAUAAAGAAGACUGGAGCAAUAUCAAUAAGCACAUUAAUGCAGAAGGAGACAAUUGCACAGAGUUUCAUACCUAGACAAAGAACUACAGGUGACUAAGGGCUGAGGGAGAGUUAGCCUUUCCCAGGGACAAGCUUCCUUUUUGGUUGUUCAGUAAGAGUGGGCAAUUAUGAAACCAUAUACACACAAACAACAAAACCAGACUCAGCAGGUUGUACUUAGAUAUUUG
rnacentral:lncRNA from 1 species